UGGGUCCCGCAAGGCCAGGGCUAGGGCUCCCUCCGAUGCUUCCACCUCAGCUCCUGCUCCCACACCAACACUAGUACCAGCUCUAGCACCUCCAGCACCAGCCGACCCUUCCAUGCAGAGCACAAAUGCCAUAGUGUCAAUGUUGCAGAGCCUUCACCACAGCCUUUGCCUGGUGAUGUAGAGUAUUCAUUAUUUAGCUUAGUAGAGGCCGAUCAUCAAC
rnacentral:lncRNA from 1 species